UAGGGGGUGCUGUUUACUUGAGCACACUGUGUGAUCAUCAUUCAUUAGUUUGUUGGUGCGGUGCCUCUUUCUAUUGCCUGCAGGGGAAGCUUCCAUAUUGACUGAGGGUCCUGAUUCAGAAGCGCAUCAUUGAAAAAAGUACAGAUUCAGCUGUCCAUCCAUCUUAAUAUUUCUGUGACAAAAUGUUGCUUUCUUUGAUUCUGCUGUUGGCAAACCUUAAAGCAGUAACCUCUGAGGAUAUAAUAACACCAUUCACUGAUUCUGUUCUGGCUUCAGAGGGAAAACCUGUUACUCUCUCCUGCAACUACUCUGCUGGCGACACUUUGCAGUGGUAUCGCCAAUAUCCCAAAUCAUUUCCAUAUUUGCUGAUAAUGGAGUUUAGGGAGACGGCGAUGAAGAACAAAUUUACUCUUGAUCACAAGAAAAACAUUAAACGUACUGAUCUGAUAAUCUCUUCAGCUGAAGUAACAGACUCUGCUGUGUACUACUGUGCUCUGAGGUCCACAGUAACAGGAAGCCUAGAGAGACUGUGCAAAAACCUGACAGUAUCAACUGUGAAGAUAUCAUUACAUCAUUUGCAGACACUAAAAUGGCUUGGGAAAGAGAUCAUACUACUCUUUCCUGCAAAGUUAAAUACUCCGUUGGUGACAGCCUUCAAUGGUAUCGGCAAUACCCCAAAUCAGCUCCUCAGUUGUUGAUAAUGCAGCAUGGAGAAGUAAAAACGGGGAUCACUCUGAAUCAUGAUAAAGAUGCAGAACUCUUGGAUCUGAUCAUCUUCUCUGCUGAA